rnacentral:lncRNA from 1 species
AUGGAGAACGGCGCACAUGGAGGUGAGUUACGAGCUGCUCAUUCAUUACUCCUGAGUGUGUUUGACUCUCUGAGUGACCCUCGUGUGUUCAUCAGCAGCUCAGGCCAACGGUCUGGCUGGCCACAAACCGAGCGGCCAAGCAGCGGUCAGCGGCGUUCAGACGCAGGAGCUGCUCCAGCAGUUGAGCAUGACUCCAGCGCAGCUGUUGCAGACGCAGACGCAGCUCCUGGCCGCAGGUCAACAGAGCAGCACCACCGGAGCCAGUAUCUCCGCCUCCGCGGCCACGCCCAUCACACUGUCCCAGCCCAUUCAGAUCGCGUCUCCGCAGGGCUUGAACCUGCAGCAGUUUGUCUUGGUCCAGCCGGGUCACUCCCUCAGUCCUCAGUUUCAGCCGCAGUUCAUCAUAUCUCCGUCUCCUCAGGGUCAGACCGGUACGAGCGUCUCCUCCGUCUGCUGAUGCCGCCGCUCCUCAGCGCUGUUUCUAACUCGUCUGUGUGUGUCUCAGGUCUCCUGCAAGCUCAGAGUGUCCUGACGCAUCUACCUCACAGCCCAGCGCAGAGCAGCCUCGCCCUCACCGCGCAGGUACAGAGACACUCCACUGUGUGACACCGAAGAUUCUGCUUAAAUAAAUCAAAAGCAGGGCUGUACACAUCAAUAAUACACAUCCAAGUGCACAUCCCAGAAAUUAUAUUAAUAAUAAUAUAUCAUCUAAAGAAUAAUGAUAUAAUCUUAAUAAAUGAUGAUAAUAAUGAUAAUAAUUAGUUCUUUAUUUUUUAAGGAAUAAUUGCAAUGUUUCAUUUUUGGUUUUAUUUUAAUAGUUAACCCCUGUUGAGCAGCAUUUUAUUUGCCAAAAAAUUAAAGCAUUCAUUUUAGUGCCGAGCAACGAUUAAUCACAUAAAAUAUUAAACUUUUUGUUUAUAUGAUGUGUAUGUGUAUAUAUAUAUAUAUAUAUAUAUAUAUAUAUGUAUGUAUGUAUGUGUGUGUGUGUGUGUGUGUGUAUUAUUAUUAGCGGGGUUUUUAAAAAGUAUUAAAAAGUGAUAAAUCAAAAUUGUCAAAUUUAAGGCCAUUAAAAGUGUUAAAUGUGGUCUCAGAGGUAUUAUUUUUUUCCAAAUUAGGUAUUAUUUUUUCAGACUAUCAGGUGUCCUAUUCUGAUUGAAAUUCUAUCUGCGUUCGCGUUAGUUCGUUUAAAUAUGGGCUUUAGCAUAUCUGGGCACAUAAUCAAAGAUCUUUCGUCUCCGUCUCAACGUAUGUUUGAUGCUGACGUCAUAUUCAGUGGUCGUUCGGCAUCAUCUCAGAACACUGCUCGCUCAACAGGAGUGGCUGGCUUACGUUUUAUUUUAGACUUGCUUCAAGGCAUAUCUUCAACGACUGGACAACCAUCGUUGUCUUCAUGGGCAAAUGCAAGUUUUCUAAUAGCUGGGUUAACGACCCAGCGUUUAAGGACUGGCUCAGGCCUGUAGUAGGGAAUAACAGGCAGGCUUAUUGUUCGGUGUGUAAAAAAAAAACAUCAAUGUCAACUGGAUGGGAGCUAACGCACUUCGGUCGCAUAUGCAAUCCACCAAACAUAAAAAUGGAAUGCGUUCUCGGAGAGAGCCAGUUAAUUCUACCAAUCUCAGCUGUCUGCGCAGCUGCACCUCCACCACCACCGCCGCAAAUUAGUGCCACUGUAGACCUACUGGCCAACUCUAUGGCUCCAGCAACGAAGGAAUUUCGGAGCUGUUUAAAGAAAUGUUUCCCGACUCUGACAUCGCGAAGUCAUUCACGUGUGGUAAAGACAAAACCGGGUACAUCAUCAGAUUUGGAUUAGCAUCGUUCACAGUUCAUAGAAUCCGCAACAGUUCAUAGAUGAUGCCCGUUUGUAAUGCAUCAACUUGCAAUGAAUGCCAGCCAGUGUGCUGGAACUAUCCAUUCUCUCCAUUGCACAUUUUAUGUAGUUUGUUUUAUUUUUAUUUACUAAGUGAAAUAAAUGUGCAGUAUGUUGUCAACAUCAGUCUCUAAAUCUAUUCUUUUUUGUAUGUUAUAUAUGUCAAAAUCUGUGUAAAUAAUAGAAAGGUCGCUGAUUAACACUUGCAAUUCAGUGCCGUGAUGGUUUUAAAAAAUAUUCUGAAGGUAGUAAAAAAGGUAUUAAAAAGUAGUAAAUUUAACUUAAGGAUUGCUGUAUAUACCCUGGAAAUAUAUAUUU